UGAAGGAGACACCUACGUGUGUUGGUUUGAUUCAUACCUCACACUCCCCGCCAAAGGCUGGAAGAGCUGGCAGAAGGAGGGAGUGAGAAAUGUGUGUAUGCAAAGAAAACAUGGACACCUAGGCACCUGAAACGGAACUGCCCCUGGAGAGGAAGAGGAGGAAGCAAGAUACAAUAACGAUGGUUUCUGAGAAACUUUGCAAGGAAAUGGAACAAUAACAGAGUGGAAGAUCAACAAUUCCAGGAAGAGAAAAAGUGACCUCUGAAAAGUUUGGUGGAGGAGACAAUACCUGGGAUGCUGGAAGACAGUCCUGUGGUGGAGUUGGUUUGAUGGCCAAGGAAGCACUCUGGGAAGAGAUUCUCUACAGAGGUUUCUGGCCCUUGCCAGUUACAGUGAACCUCUCCUGGAGGUGCUUUGAAGAGAAGAACAAACUCUCCUCUAAAGGAGCAAUAUGAGACCCUGCCCAAGCUUCACUAAAUACACUGGGAAAAAGACAAAGUUUAUGAGCAAAUGGUUUAGCCUAUGAUCGUUGUCUGGUAAUUAAACUUAAGAGGUUACAAAAGAGACAGCAGCUUUUGGAAAAUCAUGUCCUGUAAAACGUUAGAGGUUGAUGCUGAUUAAAGUUACAUCUUCCUUUGGAAAUGGAUGAUUUGUACAUUUGUUCUAGGACUAAAACCAAGGGUAAAUUUGACUUUUGGUGGAUGUUUGUGAACAGUGAUGAAUAGCUUAUGUAUUUGUUUUAAAAC